GCCUCACAAAUUUUUGGAACCCAUGAAAGGAACUCAUCAUGGGGUAACCAGAACUCUUUAUCUGCUUAUAUUUUAGUCGUUAGUGAAUGUUCUUGCUGCUUAUUGAGAUGCGCAUGCUUGCUGUAAAAAAGGGGGAAAAGAAAGAAAAAAUGAAUUAGUUAAUCUUGAGGAAGGAGAGGGUCCCAAAUAGUUUCAAGAACUUAGGCCUAUUUUUCGAAGAAUUUUUAGUUUGUGAAAGGAACGGUUUCAAAUUAUAUCUAGCAUGUUGGUGAAUUAUCUUGCAUGAUAACUACCAAUCAAUCAUGAUAGGGAUCUUUCUGAAUGACUUAAUUGCUUCCUUGGGGCACUCUGUGAUACAAGUACACUUGUGGAAAUGAGGAUUACCUGUAUUCUUUUUGGUCCUUCAUACUAGCUUCCAUGUCUAACAUUGUGGUAGUGUGACUUGUUCCUUACGGCACUCAUUGAUACCAGUACACUUGCAGAAAUGAGGAUUACCAGUAUCUUCUUUUGGUGCUUCAUACUAGCUUUCAUGUUUAAUAUUGUAGACAAUGUGACAUGUUCCUUUUUGGUUCUUCUUAGUAUCCGAAAAAACUAUCUUUUAUUUUGGUUGGCAUUGUGUCAUGGAUCUCAAUUAAAACUCAACUGAUCAAAUGGCUUACUUUUUGGUCUUCUCAUAUCAAGAAUUCAUCUUGGCUUUGGGGUCACCAGACCAAGAAACUGUCCAUGGUGACAACAACCCAGUCAAUAUGCCUACAUGAUCCAUGGUUGAUAAAUAGAUGGUAAAAUUAUGAAGAACCUUUUGAAACAUCUGUUUUAAGUGCUAUAGCAGUUGAAGUUUUCCUUGUGGUGAUAUCUUUAUGAGAAAUAAUUACCGUAAAAUGCUCGAGCCAUGGAUUUCUAUGACUGGGAGUGUUUAUUAGUCAAAAUUGUCCAUGCCAGGAAUCAUAUUAGUAGGAUCUGA
rnacentral:misc_RNA from 1 species